CAAACGACUCUCGGCAACGGAUAUCUCGGCUCAUGCAUSGAUGAAGAACGUAGCGAAAUGCGAUACUUGGUGUGAAUUGCAGAAUCCCGUGAACCAUCGAGUUUUUGAACGCAAGUUGCGCCCGAAGCCAUUCGGCCGAGGGCACGUCUGCCUGGGCGUCACAC
rnacentral:rRNA from 1 species